rnacentral:misc_RNA from 1 species
GCAAAAUGGCGACCUCCUUUUGCUGGGAAAGUAAAAUCACAGAAAAGUUCGAUGUUAAUAUAAGGCUAUCGUGCGUGACAUGUAAAUAAUAAAUAAAAUUUCAAUAAUAUAGCAUUAAAAGAAUUAUUUUAACGUUCACUACAAAACAUACAUUGAAUAUUCGAUGAGUUUUCGGUGAUACGUUUCUGACAGCGUGUCCACAAUGGCCGAUGACUCUACUUCUCUGCCAAAAAGGCGUCAAUUGCGGGAAAGAACUAGAAAGUUGUAUACAGAUGACUGGGCCAUAGGUGAUGAGGAAAUCGAGGGUCGUAGGACUUUUCAACUGGAUGAAAAAAUUGAAUGCGAAAGAUACAACCUAAAUAAUUUCAGUGGAUUAUUCCGUGAAAUGAAUGGUUCUGAAUUGACUCUAGCGUUCUUGCAGAAACAUGGACUCAGUAUACCAUUGCUCUUCAAAGACAAAUCUGGAUUGGGAUUGCGAGUUCCCAGUUCAAAUUUUACAGUUAAUGAUGUGAGAACGUGUGUUGGUUCAAAAAGAGUAUUAGAUGUAAUGGAUGUUAAUACACAAAAGAAUGAAGAUAUGACAAUGAAAGAAUGGCAAAAGUAUUAUGAAGAUCCUAACAAAGAACGGUUGUUAAAUGUAAUUUCUUUAGAGUUCAGUCAUACCAAGUUAGAAAACUAUGUACAGUCACCUUCAUUGGUAAGACAAGUUGAUUGGGUAGAUGUUGUAUGGCCAAGACAUCUUAAAGAAGCACAAGUGGAAUCUACCAAUCUUUUGGAAGACAUGAUGUAUCCAAAAGUGCAAAAGUAUUGCCUGAUGUCUGUGAAAGGUUGUUAUACAGAUUUCCAUGUUGACUUUGGUGGAACUAGUGUGUGGUACCAUAUCCUAAGAGGUGGAAAAAUAUUUUGGCUUAUCCCUCCUACUGAAAAAAAUUUGUCCCUUUAUCAAGAAUGGGUUCUAAGUGGCAAACAAUCUGACGUUUUCUUUGGAGACAUGGUAGACAGAUGUGGUAGAAUAAGUUUAACAGCUGGCAUGACUCUAUUUAUCCCAACUGGUUGGAUUCAUGCAGUGUAUACUCCUCAAGAUUCUUUAGUGUUUGGUGGAAAUUUUUUACAUAGCUUUGGUAUUGAAAAACAAUUGAAAGUUGCACAAGUAGAGGAACACACAAAGGUUCCACAAAAAUUCAGAUAUCCAUUUUUCACUGAAAUGUUAUGGUACGUCUUGGAGAGGUACGUCCACGUUCUGCUCGGCAGGAGUCAUUUAGAUAUUUCCGAAUCUCACCGUCAACAUUCAGUUCCACAACACCAUCAGCACUUACACCUGACACCGUUCGAAUUACAUGGUUUAAAAGCAAUAGUUAUGUAUUUACAUUCAUUACCUUCUACUAAAAAGAAUGUGCCUGAGCUGAUUCGCGAUCCCGUUGCCUUAAUUCACGAUGUUCGAUGUCUGGUAGAACAACAUCGACACGAUAAUCCGGACGCGGCUGUAACAGGAAAUCCUGUAUUACCACCUCCACCUCCAUUAACUAUUGCUGAAAGGGAACGUCUAAGGGUAACUAAAAAAAGUUUUGCAAAGAUACAGAGGCAUCACUCACAAGAGAAGUCUGAAAGAGCUUUCCCGCGGCGAAGGCGUACCAGGUGUAAAAAGUGUGAAGCAUGUACAAGGACUGACUGCGGGGAAUGCAUGUACUGUCAGGAUAUGGUGAAAUUCGGUGGGAGCGGUCGUGCCAAACAGACGUGCUUGAUGAGACAAUGUUUGAGGCCUAUGCUUCCGGUCACAGCAGCUUGUAAAGUUUGCCGAUUAGACGGCUGGGGACAACCACCUGCUCCGUUAAUGGGGAAACCAACGCCGACAGCUCCGUCGAGUUUGUUAGAAUGUUCGAUAUGUUUUGACAUUGUACAUCCCGCGUGCAUAGGAUUGGAUCCCCAAACAAUAACCGUUAGCGACGAUUUACCGAAUAGUUGGGAAUGUCCCGAAUGUUGUGAAAGCGGUCGAAAUUUAGAUUGUAGGCCACGUCAACCUAAGGCUCGUGCUCGAAAACUUUCUGUAUCUAGUGCAGCUUCAUCCGCACCCACUACAGAUUCUGAAAGGGCUACCACACCAAGUAAACGUUCAAGAUCCGAUCCCAGCGAUGCAUGGAAUGACAGAGAACCGGCUGAGGGUGAACAGCGAACAGCUUUGCGUACACAAUUAGCUGUACAAUUAACUGGUUCAAGUAGUAAGUCAUUGAAGAGGCCCCACGUGGUGGUUAGGCCUGUUCCACUUCCGCCUGUUCAAAGACCAGGGCCUGAUUUUAAUGGACAAUCUUUAGCAUAUGACAAAACAGCAUUACUUGCUAUUUUUAGAUUUUUAAAUGCAAAGGACCUGGCGAAUUGUGCCUUGGUUUGCCGUACAUGGGCCAGAUAUAGUAUAGAUCCUAGCUUGUGGAGAAAAUUGGACAUGUCUCAUUCUCAUCUGACAGCUUUGCAUUUAACUGGUAUUAUACGCCGCCAACCGGAAAAUCUGUCUCUUGACUGGACAAAUGUAACUAAAAGACAAUUAGCCUGGCUGUUAAGUAGAUUGCCGCAGCUUAGAACAUUAUCUGUACAAGGUUGUUCGUGGGCUGGAGUCUGUGCUUUGAGAACUUGCACUUGUCCGCCGCUUACCACUUUAGACCUCAGUCACGUAUCAGGACUGAACGAUUCGAGUUUAAGGGAGGUCCUUAGUCCACCUACGGAUUCGAGACCCGGUCUAAUUGAUAAAACUUCAAGAUUGAAGCAUCUUAAAAAUUUAUCUUUGGCUGGAUGUGAUAUAACUGACGUAGCUUUAAGAUAUAUAGUUCAACAUUUACCUUAUCUGGAGACGUUGGAUCUCUCUUCUUGCGGUAGAGUUACUGACGCCGGUGUAGCGCAAUUGGCGACUCCACCGGCGCAAGCAGUAACCAACCUAGCAUCACUGAAUCUGGCAAACUGUAGAUUACUUACAGAAACGACGUUAGAUCAUUUGGCAAGAUGCAAAGUGCUUAAACGUUUGGAUCUCAGACACACGACUCAAGUUUCGACUCAGUCUGUAAUUAAGUUUGCUGCGAAAAGUAUUCAUAAUUUACAUGUGACGGACGUUAAACUAGUAGAAGAAAAAAAAUUUAAAGUCGAGGUUAAAGUUACGUGAAAAAAAAUGUAUCUGGUUAUGAGGAUUUUCGGCAAGUGCAAUUUGGUUACUUUGUAAAACCAAGAACAAUUAUGCCGAAUAUCAGUCAACAAUUAUUUAUUGUCAUGAAAAUCCAUCAGCACUGUAUCGCAUCUUCAUAAUAUAAAAAAGUGGACCUGACUAGUAUAGGAUUUCUAUUCGAUAACCUUCAGUUUUAUCGAUGUCACUACGCGAUAUGAGCAACAAAAUACUUCAAUUCGAAUUAACCAAGGAUUACUUUAUUUUUUGCUUAUUUUAACGUAGAUUGCUGUCUUCCUUUAUGUCUGGAAAACACCGUACACGUUUCAAAAAUAUUUUAAGAUAUUAAAUCUUAACGAGUACAGGAUAUUAAAUAAGUAAUGCGAAUUCCAGGAAUGUUAUAUCACGAAUCACAACUUUAAAGCUGCGCUAGUUGCGAUUUUUCGCAUUCCUAAUUAUAAAAUUACGAGCAAAUUUUCAGAGUUAUGUUCAGUUUCGCAUCGUAUAACGAAACAAACCAUUACUCGUUUAAUAUUCAGUAUUGUAUUAGAAAAGUGAUGGACAGAUAAAGUGCUCGCCAGACAGCUCACCGGUGUGCACUGUGCACGCAGUGAUAAAGCGAAAUUUGGGAAUUUGCGAAUUUGAGGAUUUGAAAAUUUGAGAAUUUGAAAGUUUAGAAAUGUAGGAACUUACGAAUUUAAAAAUUUAAUGAUAUACAAGUUUCAAAUUUUCAAAUAACUGACUACCCACUCAAUGCACGUUACUUGCAUACCUGUGCUGUGUCCUCGCGAGCGCAAUCGGCCGUCACCAUGUUAACGGAUAUCAAAUGCAUCAAUAUAGAAGUUUUUACUGUCGUAUCGAAAGACGAGCGUACAGUAUUUGUUUUGCAAUUCUAUACGGAUGUAGGAAUACGAAUGCGGGUAAAAAGAGAUAAAUGUUGACGUCUGUAGUCUUACGAGGAACUCAGCGAAGUAGCAUAUCGACGCUACCGAUCGCCUAUAUAUAUUAAUAAAAAAAGAAGAAAGAGGUAUAUUUAUUUGUAUGUGUGAUUGGAUAAGUUUCCAACUGACUUCGUUAAGUCGCAAAAAUGAAGGAACCUGUUGACCACGUAAACUCAUUACUCUAAUUAUAAAGACGGAAGCGCGCAAUGAAACAUAUUCGACUAUACCAUUUCAUAAUAUUAGAUAGAUGGACACGAGUUAUCACACUGAAAGUUCAACGUAUUGUUUCAAUUUAGCUCGCAGUGCAAUGGUUUUCAUUAUACUCGAUAUCGAUAUUGUUCGUCAUGCAUUCAUUUUUAUAAUUCAAGCAUGUAUUAGAAGCACUAAGCUGCGGAUGUUCUAAUUCUAAACUAUGACACUACUGUAUAAAGUAUGUAACCCACAGAGAACAAUAGUGAUAUUCUGAUUUUCAAAUAUAAUUUUAAAUUUUAA